AAAUAGCCCUGGUGGAAACGGAAAUACUUUUUGGUUCCGUUGUAUUGUAUUUUAGAAUUUUCCCAAAAAGAUUGGAGUGAACAGCAGGAACAACC
rnacentral:sRNA from 1 species